ACGUAGAUGAUAAUGAGCUUAAACCGAUGUUCCAAGGUUGUCUAGAUUGGAUUAUGUGCAAUCAAAAUGCCAGAGAAGGUUUCUGGAUGAACUCCACCAGUUAUACAACGGUGGCUGAUGGCAGAGACGAAGACGGCGAAAAGGACAUGUGUAUUCUAACUUCCACUCUUGCU
rnacentral:sRNA from 1 species